rnacentral:rRNA from 1 species
UACUAGGAGGUACAGCUAGUUAGUCGAAUUACUGGGCGUAAAGCGUGCGCAGGCGGUUUUGUAAGUUUGUCGUGAAAGCCCCGGGCUCAACCUGGGAAUUGCGAUGAAGACUGCAAGGCUUGAAUCUGGCAGAGGGGGGUAGAAUUCCACGUGUAGCAGUGAAAUGCGUAGAGAUGUGGAGGAACACCGAUGGCGAAGGCAGCCCCCUGGGUCAAGAUUGACGCUCAUGCACGAAAGCGUGGGGAGCAAACAGG